GAAUGCAGCGCGCAUGAAAAGCCGCCGCACGCGGCUCGACUCACGCUCGCAGUAAUCUCACGGGGUUUCCCGAUCUAUUUUAAACGGCGAGGACCAGCUCGAUCUGUUUAACAACAAUAUCGAGCAACCUGCAGCUGGCGGCACUUCCGAGGUCGGUGCACUUCAGUGACCGCAUCCUCACGUGAAAAAACGGAACAAGAAAGGAAAAAAAUGUUGAAUUUCACGCCAUUGUGUGGAAGGAAAUAUGUAUGUGCGUUGCUUCCAGAGUCGGACUUUUAACUACACAAAUUGUAAUUUUACCGUAUCCAAGAAAGUAGACGCCUUGAAACAAUCCUACAAAGUUUUCUAUGCCUCUGGAUUUGUGCAAAUGAUCGGCAAGGAUAAGCCGAUAACUAUCCGUUUUAUAAUCCAUAUUUUACACCUAGGUCUACCCGUGGGAUAUGAUCCUCUGGUAGUUCGAUCGAUGUCGAAUAUUCACUGGAAUUGUAAACCCAGCGUUUCAGUUCAACGAAUUAGGCAUAUUGUGUCUACGGUAAACAUACGUGUAUAAAAUAUAUAUACAAACUAUGUUUCAUUUUCAUCCGAUUUGUACAAACAACCGUCCCGAUUUCACUAUCCUCGAUACAUACUGGAAAUGAGAUAGUAUAUUUUAACGAGUCCUGAACUUUGUACCGAACGAUCAUUUCGUCGGAUUACAUUGACAAAACUUCAUCACACCUCCUCUACGGAUGUAACGUUGUCUUGUUAGAACCGGAGCCUGUUGAGGAGAUUGGUAUGCAUCAUAAGUAAAUUAUCCGAAUGAAUCGAUCAGCUAUUAAGAAAUAAUGAGCAAGCGUCGAGCAGGUAUACGAGCGGUUUUUUGAAGUUUUCAACCAGUUUUUCGAAGAGUCUGAACCAGUUUUUUGAAGAGUCUGAAGGGCAACUCUAUGGACCAGGAAUCGCUGAUUAGCAUAUUAACGCGAUGGAAAUUGCGACCUGCACCUUUCCCGCCGCACGACAAAUGCACACUCGAGACGCCUCGGUGAAAUGCUUGUACCAGGCAUAAUAUGACAUAUAUCUUGAUGAAAAAAUUUAAGAAGACUGCUGAAAUAUAUAACAAUAAAA
rnacentral:lncRNA from 1 species